rnacentral:rRNA from 1 species
UAAAUACUCUCUAGUGACCGAUAGUGAACCAGUACCGUGAGGGAAAGGUGAAAAGCACCCCGGGAGGGGAGUGAAAUAGAACCUGAAACCGUGUGCCUACAACAAGUUCGAGCCCGUUAAUGGGUGAGAGCGUGCCUUUUGUAGAAUGAACCGGCGAGUUACGAUAUGAUGCGAGGUUAAGUUGAAGAGACGGAGCCGUAGGGAAACCGAGUCUGAAUAGGGCGGAUUAGUAUUAUGUCGUAGACCCGAAACCAUGUGACCUACCCAUGAGCAGGUUGAAGGUGAGGUAAAACUCACUGGAGGACCGAACCAGGGCACGUUGAAAAGUGCUUGGAUGACUUGUGGGUAGCGGAGAAAUUCCAAACGAACUUGGAGAUAGCUGGUUCUCUCCGAAAUAGCUUUAGGGCUAGCGUCGACAUUAAGAUUCUUGGAGGUAGAGCACUGUUUGGGUGAGGGGUCCAUCCCGGAUUACCAAUCUCAGAUAAACUCCGAAUGCCAAUGAAUUAUGGUCGGCAGUCAGACUGCGAGUGCUAAGAUCCGUAGUCGAAAGGGAAACAGCCCAGACCACCAGCUAAGGUCCCAAAAUAAUUGUUAAGUGGAAAAGGAUGUGGGGUUGCACAGACAACUAGGAUGUUAGCUUAGAAGCAGCUAUUCAUUCAAAGAGUGCGUAAUAGCUCACUAGUCGAGUGACCCUGCGCCGAAAAUGUACCGGGGCUAAAACAAUUUACCGAAGCUGUGGAUACCUUUAUAGGUAUGGUAGGAGAGCGUUCUAUGUGUGGAGAAGGUGUACCGUGAGGAGCGCUGGAACGCAUAGAAGUGAGAAUGCCGGUAUGAGUAGCGAAAGACAGGUGAGAAUCCUGUCCACCGUAAGACUAAGGUUUCCAGGGGAAGGCUCGUCCGCCCUGGGUUAGUCGGGACCUAAGGAGAGACCGAAAGGUGUAUCCGAUGGACAACAGGUUGAUAUUCCUGUACUAGAGUAUGUAGUGAAGGAGGGACGCAGUAGGCUAACUAAAGCGUGCGACUGGAAGUGCACGUCUAAGCAGUGAGGUGUGAAUUGAGUUAAAUGCUUAAUUCUAUAACAUUGAGCUGUGAUGGGGAGCGAAGUUUAGUAGCGAAGUUAGUGACGUCACACUGCCAAGAAAAGCUUCUAGCGUUAAUCAUACUCUACCCGUACCGCAAACCGACACAGGUAGUCGAGGCGAGUAGCCUCAGGUGAGCGAGAGAACUCUCGUUAAGGAACUCGGCAAAAUGACCCCGUAACUUCGGGAGAAGGGGUGCUGGCUUUCAGUCAGCCGCAGUGAAUAGGCCCAAGCAACUGUUUAUCAAAAACACAGCUCUCUGCUAAAUCGUAAGAUGAUGUAUAGGGGGUGACGCCUGCCCGGUGCUGGAAGGUUAAGAGGAGUGCUUAGCGUAAGCGAAGGUAUGAAUUGAAGCCCCAGUAAACGGCGGCCGUAACUAUAACGGUCCUAAGGUAGCGAAAUUCCUUGUCGGGUAAGUUCCGACCCGCACGAAAGGCGUAAUGAUUUGGGCACUGUCUCAACGAGAGACUCGGUGAAAUUUUAGUACCUGUGAAGAUGCAGGUUACCCGCGACAGGACGGAAAGACCCCAUGGAGCUUUACUGCAGUUUGAUAUUGAGUGUCUGUGCCACAUGUACAGGAUAGGUAGGAGCCAUUGAUAUCGGGACGCCAGUUUCGAUGGAGGCGUUGUUGGGAUACUACCCUUGUGUUAUGGCCACUCUAACCCGGUAGGUUCAUCAUCUACGGAGACAGUGUCUGACGGGCAGUUUGACUGGGGCGGUCGCCUCCUAAAAGGUAACGGAGGCGCCCAAAGGUUCCCUCAGAAUGGUUGGAAAUCAUUCGCAGAGUGUAAAGGUAUAAGGGAGCUUGACUGCGAGAGCUACAACUCGAGCAGGGACGAAAGUCGGGCUUAGUGAUCCGGUGGUUCCGUAUGGAAGGGCCAUCGCUCAACGGAUAAAAGCUACCCUGGGGAUAACAGGCUUAUCUCCCCCAAGAGUUCACAUCGACGGGGAGGUUUGGCACCUCGAUGUCGGCUCG